rnacentral:rRNA from 1 species
AACGAACGCUGGCGGCAUGCCUAACACAUGCAAGUCGAACGAGCCCUUCGGGGUUAGUGGCGCACGGGUGCGUAACGCGUGGGAAUCUGCCCUUUGCUUCGGAAUAACAGUGAGAAAUUGCUGCUAAUACCGGAUGAUGUCUUCGGACCAAAGAUUUAUCGGCAAAGGAUGAGCCCGCGUAGGAUUAGCUAGUUGGUGGGGUAAUGGCCUACCAAGGCGACGAUCCUUAGCUGGUCUGAGAGGAUGAUCAGCCACACUGGGACUGAGACACGGCCCAGACUCCUACGGGAGGCAGCAGUGGGAAUAUUGGACAAUGGGCGAAAGCCUGAUCCAGCAAUGCCGCGUGAGUGAUGAAGGCCUUAGGGUUGUAAAGCUCUUUUACCCCGGGAUGAUAAU